UUUGCCGAGGAUUUACAACCCUUGACUCCUAUAGUACACAUUCCCGAUAUUGAAAAUGUCAAGUAAAUUAAUUUAGUAAAGUUUUGGUAUUUGGAAUGUGUACUAUAGAAGUCAAGGGUUGUAAGCCCUUUGCAAAU